GGAAAGUCACACAAAACCGCAAACUUAAGGCCAACGUAGCGAGUCAGCACCAGAAUCAACACACCACCAGUGACGGAGGGUUGGACAGAAGGUAGCUCACACACAAUACGGCGAUGUUGACUUCGGUUUGACGGGUUUUUGUCUAGGAAGGAACAGGGGAAGUAAGUUUCUCGGAAGAAGUAACCGCAGCAGUCAUUUACACGACGACGAAGAAGGAGUGAGAGACCCCUUGGGAAUCGUGACAUCUGCGGUAGAAUACCGUCUGAAUGGGUGGUGUUUGCUGGUCUAAGAGGUUCGGAAGGUUGUAAUUUCGGUGAUUUGCGUGGCUCGUCAUCACAGGAAAGGGUUUAAUUCCGUAGGUGACAUUUGCCCGAUCAAAGAAGGCGGUAGAAAUCGGUCGUCACGCCACGUCACAUGACACAAAGCCGACUGGUAGCUGAGAACCCUUUUGUUUCCUUCUGAAUCCCAUCAAUUGAAGGUGGAAAAGUCCAUAAUUGUAACAUUGUUAAACGGAACACCCCUUGUAAUGCCCUACCAUCAUCGGUAAACGGUGAAGAAAUGGAAAACCGAUUUGCGUUCAAAACGUUGAUUGGUAUUCUAACGUAAUGGCGGCGAGCGCGCGCGGUCGGUGUCGUGAAGGGGGAGCUAUAAAAUGCAUCGAAACGAUGGACGACGUAAUUCAAACUGACAAACGACAUGCUGGAUUUAUGAACGAGCGUCAAUGGGGCCGCUCGGCGGCUUUGGCAUUGCUGGCAUAAGAAACAACAGAAAAAAGUGUAACAUUUAUGGUAGGCACACGGCGCGAAAUGUUUUCGGUUCGGAGCGAAUCAGGCACGUAUACAGUUUGACAGCUUUGGUGGCCGCCAUUUUUUUCGCGCAUCGGCUGACAACGCCCGCAUUGAAGUCUGUGCCCGGGGAAGGGGUGGGACACAUGUGUCCAAAUUCCCAAAAGAGUCAAAGCAAAGACGGGGCAAACAGGCCGCGAAAACUAAAACAAAUAAUUGAAAAUCGAACCCAGACAACAAACGCGCGGUGGGUAUUAAAUUUUAAAAUUGAAAAUAAAUUCUCCGGUUGCUCGCUGCAGUGGACGAGUUUUGCAGCAUGCGCGAUUCCGCGUCGAGGCUCGCUCAAUUGAUGGCCAUAAAUAUCCCGGUGCGGGCUCGUGUUUGGUUUGGAAAACAAUAAAACAAGUGCUAAAUGGGAUGUCAUUUGUUGUUUUCGGACAGCAGCGCGGAAAAAUGGGCACACUGCCACUCGAUUUUCGGGGCCACU